GACGAACGCUGGCGGCGUGCUUAACACAUGCAAGUCGAACGGAAAGGCCUCUUUCGGGGGGUACUCGAGUGGCGAACGGGUGAGUAACACGUGAGUAACCUGCCCUUGACUUUGGGAUAACUUCAGGAAACUGGGGCUAAUACCGGAUAGGAGCUCCUGCUGCAUGGUGGGGGUUGGAAAGUUUCGGCGGUUGGGGAUGGACUCGCGGCUUAUCAGCUUGUUGGUGGGGUAGUGGCUUACCAAGGCUUUGACGGGUAGCCGGCCUGAGAGGGUGACCGGCCACAUUGGGACUGAGAUACGGCCCAGACUCCUACGGGAGGCAGCAGGGGGGAAUAUUGCACAAUGGGUGGAAGCCUGAUGCAGCAACGCCGUGUGCGGGAUGACGGCCUUCGGGUUGGAAACCGCUUUCGCUCAUGACGAAGCUUUGUGUGACGGUAGUGGGUAAAGAAGCACCGGCUAACUACGUG
rnacentral:rRNA from 1 species